UACGUAGGUGGCAAGCGUUGUCCGGAUUUACUGGGCGUAAAGGGCGUGCAGGCGGUUUGUUAAGUUAAGGGGGAAAGCUCCCGGCUCAACUGGGAGAGGUCCUUGCAUACUGGCAAACUCGAGGGAGGCAGAGGAAAGUGGAAUUCCCGGUGUAGUGGUGAUAUGCGUAGAUAUCGGGAGGAAUACCUGUGGCGAAGGCGGCUUUCUGGGCCUUACCUGACGCUGAGACGCGAAAGUGUGGGGAUCAAACAGG
rnacentral:rRNA from 1 species